UGUAUAUUUUUAUCUUUUCCUUCCUUUUUUUUUAACAUUUAUUUGUUUGCUUAUUUAUUAAAAAUAAUUAUAUAGAGAGAUUGAUGGACGGUGAGGCGGUGACCAGUGGGUGGAUGUUCCAUCAAGAUUGACACUUGACCAAUCUCUCCACUGCUAUUUUUUCACAUGUACUUCGAAAAGCCAGACAUGUCAAUUCGCCUUUUGUUCUGAUAGGGAAUGGGAAAGGGUCGUAAAACUCAUCUCCUUUUGUUCACUAAGGGGAAAUUUGAGUAGGUUGGAAGGACUCCGUUAGACCUGAGGUAAUUUACAGCCAUUCACAAUUUAUUCUGGUUCGGAUCCUUGGUCAUUCUCUGUCUUUAUUGCUUUUGUUUAUGGCAGUCCUGAUAGAAAAAAAAAACAAAAAACAAAAACUAUUCUAGGAAGGGUUAAAUGCUACUGUUCCUUUGGGGGCUGCUCCUUGGCUCGCUAUUGGGGGCUUCAAUGCCAUCUUGCCUGAUAGUGAAAAGAAAGGGGGACGGGUUCGAGGAAGAAGGUGCUCUUUUUUCGGUGGUUUUAUGGAUUUUGCAGCUUUACAUUAUUUGGGCUUUAGAGGCUUACCCUUCACUUGGUGUAGGAGUGACUUUUGAGAGGUUGGAUAGAGCUAUUGGGAAUGAUGUUUAACUGAAUAUGUUCCUUAAUAGUUUGGUUACUCAUCUUCCAAGGCUUAAUUCUGAACAUAGAUCACUUUUCUUAUCCUUGAGACCAAAUCUUGUAACUCCCAAGAAGAGACCUUUUAGAUUUCUAAUUGGAUGGUUGGAGCAUUCGAGGUU